GUAGGGUGCAAGCGUUAAUCGGAAUUACUGGGCGUAAAGCGUGCGCAGGCGGUUAUGCAAGACAGAGGUGAAAUCCCCGGGCUCAACCUGGGAACUGCCUUUGUGACUGCAUGGCUAGAGUACGGUAGAGGGGGAUGGAAUUCCGCGUGUAGCAGUGAAAUGCGUAGAUAUGCGGAGGAACACCGAUGGCGAAGGCAAUCCCCUGGACCUGUACUGACGCUCAUGCACGAAAGCGUGGGGAGCAAACAGGAUUAGAUACCCUGGUAGUCCACGCCCUAAACGAUGUCAACUGGUUGUUGGGAGGGUUUCUUCUCAGUAACGUAGUUAACGCGUGAAGUUGACCGCCUGGGGAGUACGGCCGCAAGGUUG
rnacentral:rRNA from 1 species